AAGUCGUAACAAGGUUUCCGUAGGUGAACCUGCGGAAGGAUCAUUAAAGAAUGCCCCGUUUUUUGAAAUGGGUUCUAUUCCCAAACCGUGUAUACAUACCUUUGUUGCUUUGGCAGGCCGCCUUUUUGGCGUUGGCUCCGGCUAACUGCGCCUGCCAGAGGACCCAAACUCGUUUGUUUAGUGAUGUCUGAGUACUAUAUAAUAGUUAAAACUUUCAACAACGGAUCUCUUGGUUCUG
rnacentral:misc_RNA from 1 species